GAAAGGCGAGAAGGAAGGGGAAGGGCAGAAUUCAGUGAAUCAUCGAAUCGGGGAACGCACCUUGCGCUCCUUGGUAUUCCUUGGAGCAUGCCUGUUUGAGUAUCAUGAAAUCUUCAAAGUAAAUCGUUUGUUAACUCAAUUGGUUUCUACUUUGGUAUUGGAGGUCUUUGCAGCUUCACACCUGCUCCUCUUUGUUCAUUAGCUGGAUCUCAGUGUUAUGCUUGGUUCCACUCGGCGUGAUAAGUUAUCUAUCGCUGAGGACACUGUAAAAGGUGGCCAAGGUAAAUGCAGAUGAACCGCUUCUAAUAGUCCAUUGACUUGGACAAUACUUUUAUGAUCUGAUCUCAAAUCAGGUAGGACUACCCGCUGAACUUAAGC
rnacentral:misc_RNA from 1 species